rnacentral:rRNA from 1 species
UACGGAGGGGGCUAGCGUUGUUCGGAAUUACUGGGCGUAAAGCGCACGUAGGCGGCUUUGUAAGUUAGAGGUGAAAGCCCAGGGCUUAACCCUGGAAUUGCCUUUAAGACUGCAUCGCUUGAAUCGUGGAGAGGUGAGUGGAAUUCCGAGUGUAGAGGUGAAAUUCGUAGAUAUUCGGAAGAACACCAGUGGCGAAGGCGACUCACUGGACACGUAUUGACGCUGAGGCGCGAAAGCGUGGGUAGCAAACAGG